rnacentral:rRNA from 1 species
AUUGAACGCUGGCGGCAUGCCUAACACAUGCAAGUCGAACGGCAGCACAGUAUGUAGCAAUACAUAUGGGUGGCGAGUGGCGGACGGGUGAGUAACGCGUGGGAAUCUGCCCAAUAGUGGGGGACAACCCGACGAAAGUCGGGCUAAUACCGCAUACGCCCUACGGGGGAAAGGCUCCAGCCGCUAUUGGAUGAGCCCGCGUCCGAUUAGCUAGUUGGUGAGGUAAUGGCUCACCAAGGCAACGAUCGGUAGCUGGUCUGAGAGGACGAUCAGCCACACUGGGACUGAGACACGGCCCAGACUCCUACGGGAGGCAGCAGUGGGGAAUAUCGCACAAUGGGCGAAAGCCUGAUGCAGCAAUGCCGCGUGUGUGAAGAAGGCCUGCGGGUUGUAAAGCACUUUCGGUAGGGAAGAUUAUGACGGUACCUACAGAAGAAGCACCGGCUAACUCCGUGCCAGCCGCCGCCGUAACAC